UACAGAGACCUCAAGCGUUAUCCGGAAUCAUUGGGCGUAAAGCGUACCGAUAGGUGGUUUAACAAGUCAGAAGUGAAAUCUCCGAGCUCAACUCGGAAUCUGUCUUUUGAAACUGUUAAACUAGAGGGGCAAAGAGGAAGCUGGAACGAACGGUGUAGUAGUGAAAUGCGUUGAUAUCGUUCGGAACACCAAUAGCGUAGGCAGGCUUCUGGGUGCCACCUGACACUGCUAGGACGAAAGCGUGGGGAGCGAAAGGG
rnacentral:rRNA from 1 species